GAUGAAGAACGCAGCGAAAUGCGAUACGUAAUGUGAAUUGCAGAAUUCAGUGAAUCAUCGAGUCUUUGAACGCACAUUGCGCCCCCUGGUAUUCCGGGGGGCAUGCCUGUCCGAGCGUCAUUUCAACCAUCAAGCCCCCGGCUUGUGUUGGGGACCUGCGGCUGCCGCAGGCCCUGAAAUCCAGUGGCGGGCUCGCCGUAGCACCGAGCGUAGUAGCACACUUCUCGCUCCGGUAGCAGCGGCGGGCGCUUGCCGUAAAACCCCCCCCUAAAAUCUCAAGGUUGACCUCGGAUCAGGUAGGAAUACCCGCUGAACUUAAGCAUAUCAAUAAGCGGAGGA
rnacentral:misc_RNA from 1 species